UGGGGGAUAUUGCGCAAUGGGGGCAACCCUGACGCAGCAACGCCGCGUGAAGGAUGAAGGUUUUCGGAUUGUAAACCUCUUUUAUUAAGGACGAAACUUGACGGUACUUAAUGAAUAAGCUCCGGCUAACUACGUGCCAGCAGCCGCGGUAAUACGUAGGGAGCAAGCGUUGUCCGGAUUUACUGGGUGUAAAGGGUGCGUAGGCGGCUUUGCAAGUCAGAUGUGAAAUCUAUGGGCUCAACCCAUAAACUGCAUUUGAAACUGUAGAGCUUGAGUGAAGUAGAGGCAGGCGGAAUUCCCCGUGUAGCGGUGAAAUGCGUAGAGAUGGGGAGGAACACCAGUGGCGAAGGCGGCCUGCUGGGCUUUAACUGACGCUGAGGCACGAAAGCGUGGGUAGCAAACAGGAUUAGAUACCCUGGUAGUCCACGCUGUAAACGAUGAUUACUAGGUGUGGGGGGUCUGACCCCUUCCGUGCCGGAGUUAACACAAUAAGUAAUCCACCUGGGGAGUACGGCCGCAAGGUUGAAACUCAAAGGAAUUGACGGGGGCCCGCACAAGCAGUGGAGUAUGUGGUUUAAUUCGAAGCAACGCGAAGAACCUUACCAGGUCUUGACAUCCAACUAACGAAGUAGAGAUACAUUAGGUGCCCUUCGGGGAAAGUUGAGACAGGUGGUGCAUGGUUGUCGUCAGCUCGUGUCGUGAGAUGUUGGGUUAAGUCCCGCAACGAGCGCAACCCUUGCUAUUAGUUGCUACGCAAGAGCACUCUAAUAGGACUGCCGUUGACAAAACGGAGGAAGGUGGGGACGACGUCAAAUCAUCAUGCCCCUUAUGACCUGGGCUACACACGUACUACAAUGGAUGUUAACAGAGGGAAGCAAGACAGCGAUGUGGAGCAAACCCCUAAAAACAUUCUCAGUUCAGAUUGCAGGCUGCAACCCGCCUGCAUGAAGAUGGAAUUGCUAGUAAUCGCGGAUCAGCAUGCCGCGGUGAAUACGUUCCC
rnacentral:rRNA from 1 species